UACGUAGGUGGCAAGCGUCAUCCGGAAUUAUUGGGCGUAAAGGGUGCGUAGGCGGUUGAUUAAGUUUUAGGUGAAAGCGUGGGGCUCAACUCCAUACAGCCUAAGAAACUGGUUAACUUGAGUGCAGAAGAGGAAAGUGGAAUUCCAAGUGUAGCGGUGAAAUGCGUAGAUAUCAGGAGGAAUACCAGUGGCGAAGGCGACUUUCUGGACUUAAACUGACGCUGAGGUACGAAAGCGUGGGGAGCAAACAGG
rnacentral:rRNA from 1 species